CGAAAGCGACGUUCAACCGCAAAACAAGCAGAGGGGGCUUAGUGGUGGGGUGACUGCGUACCUUUUGUAUAAUGGGUCAGCGACUUAUAUUCUGUAGCAAGGUUAACCGAAUAGGGGAGCCGGAGGGAAACCGAGUCUUAAUUGGGCGUUAAGUUGCAGGGUAUAGACCCGAAACCCGGUGAUCUAGCCAUGGGCAGGUUGAAGGUUGGGUAACACUAACUGGAGGACCGAACCGACUAAUGUUGAAAAAUUAGCGGAUGACCUGUGGCUGGGGGUGAAAGGCCAAUCAAACCGGGAGAUAGCUGGUUCUCCCCGAAAGCUAUUUAGGUAGCGCCUCGUGAAUUCAUCUCCGGGGGUAGAGCACUGUUUCGGCUAGGGGGCCAUCCCGGCUUACCAACCCGAUGCAAACUGCGAAUACCGGAGAAUGUUAUCACGGGAGACACACGGCGGGUGCUAACGUCCGUCGUGAAGAGGGAAACAACCCAGACCGCCAGCUAAGGUCCCAAAGUCAUGGUUAAGUGGGAAACGAUGUGGGAAGGCCCAGACAGCCAGGAUGUUGGCUUAGAAGCAGCCAUCAUUUAAAGAAAGCGUAAUAGCUCACUGGUCGAGUCGGCCUGCGCGGAAGAUGUAACGGGGCUAAACCAU
rnacentral:rRNA from 1 species